rnacentral:rRNA from 1 species
UACGUAGGGGGCGAGCGUUGUCCGGAUUUAUUGGGCGUAAAGAGCUCGUAGGCGGUUCGAUAAGUCGGAUGUGAAAUCUCCACGCUCAACGUGGAGGGGCCAUUCGAUACUGCCAUGGCUUGAGUCCGGUAGGGGACCACGGAAUUCCUGGUGUAGCGGUGAAAUGCGCAGAUAUCAGGAGGAACACCGGUGGCGAAGGCGGUGGUCUGGGCCGGAACUGACGCUGAGGAGCGAAAGCGUGGGGAGCGAACAGG